rnacentral:rRNA from 1 species
UACGGAGGGUGCAAGCGUUGUCCGGAUUUAUUGGGUUUAAAGGGUGCGUAGGUGGUCUGAUAAGUCUGGUUUGAAAGUUGGUCGCUUAACGAUCAAGGGUGGCUGGAUACUGUUGGACUUGAAUAUUGUGGAGGUAGCCGGAAUGGGUUGUGUAGCGGUGAAAUGCAUAGAGAUGACCCGGAACACCAAUUGCGAAGGCAGGCUACUACGCAAUGAUUGACACUGAGGCACGAAAGCAUGGGGAGCAAACAGG